rnacentral:tRNA from 1 species
AAGGGCUUAGCUUAAGAAAAGCGGUUGACUUGCAUUCAGCAGAUGUAAGAUAGAGUCUUGCAGUCCUUA